CAGAGGACAUCAUGUUUAAUACGGUUCCGGAAAAAUCCAGUCAGAAGUUGUUCACGGGGUUUUCACAAUAACUGCUUCUCAUGAACCGGAGCUGGACGUCUCCUUCUGAAAGUUGGAUUACUGUGCACUUCUGGAUCACAGGCUAUUCGCAGCUGUACACAUCCUUCUACACUGUAUGCAAACAUGCAACAUCAUAACACACAGUACAAGGAGUCAGACUGGCAUAUGAGGAGCAAAGGAACCCAGGCAGUAGCAUCGUUUCACAAUGUUUCCAUCAUCAUCAUCAGUGGAUGCCUUUGCCGUCCGUAGCCUGAGAUUUCAGAUUUGCAGCAAAAAAAUUUGAUUUUCUCAUUUAUUGGAAUGCUAUGCAGGUUGUACCUUGCAGCCAUCCAUUACAAUGUCACCAAGCCGUAACAAAAGCAGGAGAGGGAAAGUACAAGCCUAUGUUCCCAAAACACAAAAAUGACAUACCUUAUGUGGAGGAUGUGAUCAGGCUUGUGUUUGAUGAGGUAUUUGAAGAUAAGCUGAAGGAAGCCCUGAUUCCAAUGGACCUGGCAUCACAGUU